rnacentral:rRNA from 1 species
GACGAACGCUGGCGGCGUGCCUAAUACAUGCAAGUAGGACGCAGUUGCGAACGGGUGAGUAAAGCGUAGGUAACUACAUAUUAGAGGGGAAUAACAAUUGGAAACGAUAGCGAAUACCGCAUACUAGUAGAUGGACCGGCGUUGUAUUAGCUAGUAGGGCGGGUAAUGGCCUACCUAGGCAACGAUACAUAGCCGAACUGAGAGGGGGGUCGGCCAAACUGGGAAUUAGACACGGCCCAGACGCCUACGGGAGGCAGCAGUAGGUAAUCUUCGGCAAUGGGGGGAACCCUGACCGAGCAACGCCGCGUGAGUGAAGAAGGUUUUCGGAUCGUAAAGCUCUGUUGUUAAGGAAGCGGUACUUAACCAGAAAGGGACGGCUAACUACGUGCCAGCAGCCGCGGUAAUAC